UGGGGCGUCGCCAAGUGGUAAGGCACCGGAUUCUGAUUCCGUUAUUCGCAGGUUCGAAUCCUGCCGCCCUAGCCA
rnacentral:tRNA from 1 species